UUCACAGUUCCUGUCUGAAAAAAAGAUAAAUGCGGAUACAAAAUACAUUUACUAAAAUACACAUUUUUUCACCAUAAGCUAAAAGUUACUGUCUUGUCGAUGUUAGGUUAUAUGGUUCUAUGAUUAUAUAUUAAAAUGAUACCCGUAUAAAUUUGACCGUUAUUUUUCUCAUAUGCAGGGACAGCCACUGUAGGGAGGGCCGACAUGCAAAAUACAACCUUAUUAUAUUGGUACAGAAUGUUGGAUUUCCUAUAUUCCUAAAUUGAGUGAUAGAAUUAUUAUCGUCUUUCAGAUAAUAAAAAAAAUGGGUGAUUGAUAGCAUCUAUUAUAUCACAGUACAGAGUGGCUCCGUGGUACAGUCCUCAGCUAGCACGACUUAACAAUAUGUCCGCCGGGGGUUCAAUGAACCGUUCCCCCGUAACAAGGACUGACUAUCCAGUUACGUGGUCCAAUGUACUGAUGAGAAAAAUGAAGUUUCCGUCGGAAUCCAUUCCAGCAAGCACCAAAGUUUUCUGGAACCGAUUCUAUGCUUCACCGUAUGCAUGCUUCACGGACAAAACAAAAGAGACACAGAAAAGUUUCCUCACGGCUACACAUGUUCUCUACAUGCGUUGUCUAUGCGUCUCGCUCUGUAUCACAGCGGAUUCCUGAUUCGACUUCACAGUAACAAUGAAAUAUACACGCUGUACAACUGAACGACAA